rnacentral:rRNA from 1 species
AGUGAACGCUGGCGGUAGGCCUAACACAUGCAAGUCGAACGGCAGCACAGUAAGAGCUUGCUCUUACGGGUGGCGAGUGGCGGACGGGUGAGGAAUACAUCGGAAUCUACUUUUUCGUGGGGGAUAACGUAGGGGAUCUUACGCUAAUACCGCAUACGACCUACGGGUGAAAGCAGGGGAUCUUCGGACCUUGCGCGAUUGAAUGAGCCGAUGUCGGAUUAGCUAGUUGGCGGGGUAAAGGCCCACCAAGGCGACGAUCCGUAGCUGGUCUGAGAGGAUGAUCAGCCACACUGGAACUGAGACACGGUUCAGACUCCUACGGGAGGCAGCAGUGGGGAAUAUUGGACAAUGGGCGCAAGCCUGAUCCAGCCAUACCGCGUGGGUGAAGAAGGCCUUCGGGUUGUAAAGCCCUUUUGUUGGGAAAGAAAAGCAGCAGGUUAAUACCCCGCUGUUCUGACGGUACCCAAAGAAUAAGCACCGGCUAACUUCGUG